rnacentral:rRNA from 1 species
GACGGGGGGAGCAAGCGUUGUUCGGAUUUACUGGGCGUAAAGGGCGCGUAGGCGGCGCAACAAGUCGAUUGUGAAAUCUCCGGGCUUAACUCGGAGCGGCCAAUCGAUACUGUCGUGCUAGAGUGCGGAAGGGGCUACUGGAAUUCUCGGUGUAGCGGUGAAAUGCGUAGAUAUCGAGAGGAACACCUGCGGCGAAGGCGGGUAGCUGGGCCGACACUGACGCUGAGGCGCGAAAGCUAGGGGAGCGAACGGG